rnacentral:tRNA from 1 species
AGUCCUGCGGUGUUAGGCACAAAAGAUUGCAAAUCUUAAGGAGCAAAUGAGAAUUUGCCGGGGCUU